rnacentral:snRNA from 1 species
AUACCUUUCUCGGCCUUUUGGCUAAGAUCAAGUGUAGUAUCUGUUCUUAUCAGUUUAAUAUCUGAUACGUGGGCCAUCGGUCCACUUGAUAUUAAUCUUAUUUUUUAUGGGGAAAGGUCCAUCACAAUAGCUUGCUAUUGUGGCCUUUGAGCGUCGCCUUGGUGUUGCACUACUGCCUUGGCCUGGCGCACCCCUC